GGAUUGGGAGUCCUCUACGGAGGACGGGUGGUCAAGGAUAAUGCCAAGAAAAGCUAUCACAGUGAUGAAAACGUAGUACCCGUACCCGAAACCGACACAGGUGGGCAAGUUGAGAAUACUAAGGGGCGCGAGCUAACUCUCUCUAAGGAACUCGGCAAAAUUACCCCGUAACUUCGGGAGAAGGGGUGCCACCGAGAGGUGGUCGCAGUGAAGAGGCCCAGGCGACUGUUUACCAAAAACACAGGUCUCUGCUAACUCGCAAGAGGAUGUAUAGGGGCUGACGCCUGCCCAGUGUCGGAAGGUUAAGGAAGUUGGUCAGGGGGAAAUCCCGAAGCUGGCGACUGAAGCCCCGGUGAACGGCGGCCGUAACUAUAACGGUCCUAAGGUAGCGAAAUUCCUUGUCGGGUAAGUUCCGACCCGCACGAAAGGCGUAACGAUCUGGGCACUGUCUCGGAGAGAGGCUCGGCGAAAUAGGAUUGUCUGUGAAGAUACGGACUACCUGCACCUGGACAGAAAGACCCUAUGAAGCUUUACUGUAGCCUGGAAUUGGGUUCGGGCUUCGCUUGCGCAGGAUAGGUGGGAGGCAGUGAAGUACCCCUCGUGGGGGGUAUGGAGCCAACGGUGAGAUACCACUCUAGCGAGGCUAGAAUUCUAACUUGAACCCGUCAGCCGGGUUAAGGACAAUUUCAGGUGGGCAGUUUGACUGGGGCGGUCGCCUCCUAAAAGAUAACGGAGGCGCGCAAAGGUUCCCUCAGGCUGGUUGGAAAUCAGUCCGAAGAGUGUAAAGGCACAAGGGAGCUUGACUGCGAGAGUGACAACUCAAGCAGGUAGGAAACUAGGCCUUAGUGAUCCGACGGUACCGAGUGGAAGGGCCGUCGCUCAACGGAUAAAAGUUACUCUAAGGAUAACAGGCUGAUCUCCCCCAAGAGUUCACAUCGACGGGGAGGUUUGGCACCUCGAUGUCGGCUCAUCGCAACCUGGGGCUGAAGUAGGUCCCAAGGGUUGGGCUGUUCGCCCAUUAAAGCGGUACGUGAGCUGGGUUCAGAACGUCGUGAGACAGUUCGGUCCAUAUCCGGUGCAGGCGCAAGAGCAUUGAGAGGAGCCUUCCUUAGUACGAGAGGACCGGGAAGGACGCACCGCUGGUGUACCAGUUAUUCCGCCAGGAGUAGACGCUGGGUAGCCAAGUGCGGAGCGGAUAACCGCUGAAAGCAUCUAAGUGGGAAGCCCACCUCAAGAUGAGUGCUCUCAUGGCAAUAAGCCAGUAAGGUCACGGGGAGAACACCCGUUGCUAGGCGCUAGGUGGAAGAGCAGCAAUGUUUGCAGCCGAGGCGUACUAACAGACCGAGGGCUUGAGA
rnacentral:rRNA from 1 species